rnacentral:rRNA from 1 species
CGGGCCUACGGGGGGCAGCAGUGGGGAAUAUUGCACAAUGGGGGAAACCCUGAUGCAGCAACGCCGCGUGAGUGAAGAAGUAUUUCGGUAUGUAAAGCUCUAUCAGCAGGGAAGAAGAAGGACGGUACCUGACUAAGAAGCCCCGGCUAACUACGUGCCAGCAGCCGCGGUAAUACGUAGGGGGCAAGCGUUAUCCAGAUUUACUGGGUGUAAAGGGAGCGUAGACGGCAGCGCAAGUCUGAAGUGAAAUCCCAUGGCUUAACCAAGGAACUGCUUUGGAAACUGUGCAGCUGGAGUGCAGGAGG